UACGUAGGGGGCAAGCGUUGUCCGGAAUCAUUGGGCGUAAAGCGCGCGUAGGUGGCUCCAUAAGUCCGUUGUGAAAGUCAAAGGCUCAACCUUUGAAAGCCGAUGGAUACUGUGGAGCUAGAGUACGGAAGAGGCGAGUGGAAUUCCUGGUGUAGCGGUGGAAUGCGCAGAUAUCAGGAGGAACACCAAUAGCGAAGGCAGCUCGCUGGGACGUUACUGACACUGAGGCGCGAAAGCGUGGGGAGCGAACAGG
rnacentral:rRNA from 1 species